AGGAGGAACAACCGCAUUGGCGGGGCCAGCUCUGCAGCCCUGGAGUCAGCUCCGGCAGUCACCACGGAGCUCUCCGUCUGCAGGGCCUGGAGGCUCAGGGCGGGG
rnacentral:pre_miRNA from 1 species